CUUGACCUUUUCCUUUCCUAUCCCUCUCCAUUUCUCCAUCCAAAAAAAUUGUUCAUAAAUUUUAUUUUCUAAUCUGGAUUCUGUUUCUAGACAUUAGGCAUUAUCUUUAUGCAAGUUGGUCUCAAAUUCAUCAAAAAAUAUAAAUGCUGCUGUCUACAUAUAACAAAGGGAGUUUUUCAUAAUUUUACCUGAUGAGCCAAAG
rnacentral:misc_RNA from 1 species